rnacentral:rRNA from 1 species
UACGUAGGGUGCAAGCGUUAAUCGGAAUUACUGGGCGUAAAGCGUGCGCAGGCGGUUUUGUAAGUCAGAUGUGAAAAUCCCCCGGGCUUAACCUGGGAACUGCGUUUGAAACUACAAGGCUAGAGUGUGGCAGAGGGGGGUGGAAUUCCACGUGUAGCAGUGAAAUGCGUAGAGAUCGGGAGGAACACCAGUGGCGAAGGCGGCUCGCUGGGCCGGCCCUGACGCUGAGACGCGAAGGCGUGGGGAGCGAACGGGAUUGAGAAACCC